CGUAACAAGGUCUCCGUUGGUGAACCAGCGGAGGGAUCAUUACCGAGUUUACAACUCCCAAACCCCUGUGAACAUACCUUACUGUUGCCUCGGCGGAUCAGCCCGCUCCCGGUAAAACGGGACGGCCCGCCAGAGGACCCCUAAACUCUGUUUCUAUAUGUAACUUCUGAGUAAAACCAUAAAUAAAUCAAAACUUUCAACAACGGAUCUCUUGGUUCUGGCAUCGAUGAAGAACGCAGCAAAAUGCGAUAAGUAAUGUGAAUUGCAGAAUUCAGUGAAUCAUCGAAUCUUUGAACGCACAUUGCGCCCGCCAGUAUUCUGGCGGGCAUGCCUGUUCGAGCGUCAUUUCAACCCUCAAGCCCUCGGGUUUGGUGUUGGGGAUCGGCGAGCCUUUCUGGCAAGCCGGCCCCGAAAUCUAGUGGCGGUCUCGCUGCAGCCUCCAUUGCGUAGUAGUAAAACCCUCGCAACUGGAACGCGGCGCGGCCAAGCCGUUAAACCCCCAACUUCUGAAUGUUGACCUCGGAUCAGGUAGGAAUACCCGCUGAACUUAAGCAUAU
rnacentral:rRNA from 1 species